rnacentral:tRNA from 1 species
GGGGGGAUAGUUUAGUGGUAGAACAUGGGACUCCAGAUCCCAAGGCCCGGGUUCAAAUCCCGGUCCCCCCA